AUCACCUGUGGAUUUUGUUAAAAUGCAGAUUCUGCUUCAGAGCAUCUGGGGUGAAACCUGAGGUUCUGCAUUUCUAACAAGCUCCCAGGUGAUGCUGA
rnacentral:pre_miRNA from 1 species